GUCCACGCCGUAAACGAUGGAUACUAGCUGUUGGGUAACUUCAGUGGCUAAGCGAAAGUGAUAAGUAUCCCACCUGGGAGUACGUUCGCAAGAAUGAAACUCAAAGGAAUUGGCGGGCCCGGCACAAGCGGUGGAGCAUGUGGUUUAAUUCGAUGAUACGCGAGGAACCUUUACCAAGGCUUAAAUGUAGAUUGACAGGUUUGGAAACAGACUUUUCUUCGGACAAUUUACAAGGUGCUGCAUGGUUGUCGU
rnacentral:rRNA from 1 species